UUUCCUUUCUUCUCAGUAUAUUCUAAAUUAUAAAUAUACGCUGUUCAGUUGAAACCUGAAGAACCAUUGAAAAACCACAUUUUCAACUUUAUCAGAAGAAAGAGUUUACUAAUCUAAACGUAUUAUGUAUUGUGUAAACUUAAACCUAAGGAAUUUCCUCGCGUCAAUCUUCCAUCUUUUCAUCCUCUACAGUGUAUAUACAGCAAUACCUUACAAAUACAGUAGACCACAUGGAUUAAAACUUUAGGCAAGUUUUUGUGUUUUUGAAAAUUUUAUCCUUCAGCUCAAAACUUACUUUUUGUCCUUUUACCUUUAUCUCUGUACUUCCUCUAUUUUUAUUUUCCUUGUGGUUCUAUCCCAAAUAGAAACCUUUCUUUUUCAUACAUUUAAUAACAAUAGAAAUACAUUUUUUUUUACAGAUUUUUGUUGAAAAUUUUGAAAGUUGAAAGAUAUGAAAGUUGAAAAGAUAUGAAAGUUGAAAAGAUAUGAAAUGGGGAAAAAGGCAUAAAAGGGGUUUAGGUUAUAAAAGUAUCUCUUUGACAUGCCUUUUUUUUCUCUCCCUCCACUUCCCCCUUUUGAGCCCAGGCCUAAACACUUUCCUUCUAAAAAGACUAAAAAAACCAAUAAAACUUGGCAAACAUUUGUUUCCAGGCAUUUUAUAUUAUACUGCUCCAGACACAGACUGCAUUCUGCACCAGAUGCAUUCAACCUGCAAUUCUAAGGGCCGGGCCUGUACUUCCGAACACCCGGUUGGAAUUUGACAGCUGGCCCUGUAGCGGGCCGGUACAAACUAGACAGCACGGAACAGAUGAUCAGAAGAGACGAGGAUAUCAUUCAGAAAACUCUGAACCAUGGAGGGAAGCAGACGUGUCUAAGAUCUCUACUCCCAACUGUGAUCUAUUUAUAUAGAUAAUAAAGUGAAACUAGACUUGAGUGACUUGAUAUUAAAUAUUUAUA